GACGAACGCUGGCGGCGUGCUUAACACAUGCAAGUCGAACGGAAAGGCCCUGCUUUUGUGGGGUGCUCGAGUGGCGAACGGGUGAGUAACACGUGAGUAACCUACCCUUGACUUUGGGAUAACUUCAGGAAACUGGGGCUAAUACCGGAUAGGAGCUCCUGCUGCAUGGUGGGGGUUGGAAAGUUUCGGCGGUUGGGGAUGGACUCGCGGCUUAUCAGCUUGUUGGUGGGGUAGUGGCUUACCAAGGCUUUGACGGGUAGCCGGCCUGAGAGGGUGACCGGCCACAUUGGGACUGAGAUACGGCCCAGACUCCUACGGGAGGCAGCAGUGGGGAAUAUUGCACAAUGGGCGGAAGCCUGAUGCAGCAACGCCGCGUGCGGGAUGACGGCCUUCGGGGUGUAAACCGCUUUCGCCUGUGACGAAGCGUGAGUGACGGUAAUGGGUAAAGAAGCACCGGCUAACUACGUG
rnacentral:rRNA from 1 species